GGUCCUUCUAUCCCAUCCCGGUUAGGAUUCAUUUCCUCGGGUUGAUGCUCUAUUUCUUCUUGGUGCUCAGCCCUUGGAACUUGAACACCAAUUUGUUCAGUUGUUGGAAUUGGAUCUGCUUCCUCAAUUGGUCCCAUCUGGCUUUCCCGGUACCGGUCUAAUUCACCUCGCAACGAAGGGCGCACUUAUCUUAGAAUAAUGACAGGAUUCCCUCGUAUUUAGUACUUCUAUGAUAUCGGUUAAACU
rnacentral:lncRNA from 1 species